GAGGGCACCCACCAACGGACACAGGACUGGAAGCCCAGGUUGGGAAGUGCAACUCGGGGUGAAGGCCAGGGAGAAGCAGGUGCUCUGCAGUGGCCAGGAAAGGUCCAGACUGGGCGGUGGAAUUGCGUUCUGUUACGUGCGGGCGUUCUUCUCUGUCUCUGGCAGGCACUCUGGGACUAGGGCCCGGCAUGCAUGAUGCCUCUCUUCAGGCGCCCCAUGGCGCUCUUGCUGCCAGCAUAGCCCUCAUGUUCCAGAUCAUUCCUUUUCCAGAAACUUGA
rnacentral:lncRNA from 12 species